rnacentral:piRNA from 1 species
UGAGACAAAUAUACUAAGAUACACCCAUGUC